UACAGAGGUCUCAAGCGUUGUUCGGAUUCAUUGGGCGUAAAGGGUGCGUAGGCGGCUUGGCAAGUGGAUGGUGAAAUCCCUCGGCUUAACCGAGGAACUGCCGUCCAAACUGCUUCGCUUGAGACCGGGAGAGGUGAGUGGAAUUCCCAGUGUAGCGGUGAAAUGCGUAGAUAUUGGGAGGAACACCAGUGGCGAAGGCGGCUCACUGGACCGGUACUGACGCUGAGGCGCGAAAGCGUGGGGAGCAAACGGG
rnacentral:rRNA from 1 species